GAAACCUGCAACUGAUCGAGUCUCUCUAUCCCUCAGUCUUCUAUCGCACAUGCUCAGCAAAGACUGGCUAAUAACCGUAACCGGCCAGAUUUUCUCCUCCUUCACUGAACGUGGUCCGAGGAGAAUCCCACAAAUCAGAUCUAGAAACACUGUAACCCGAUUUGUAGCUAUUUCUACCAAAGUGAUCGACAGAUAAUGAUGCCAAAAUCGCCUUUUACAGCCUGUG